rnacentral:rRNA from 1 species
GAGUUUGAUCUUGGCUCAGAACGAACGCUGGCGGCAGGCUUAACACAUGCAAGUCGAACGCCCCGCAAGGGAGGUGGCGCACGGGUGGAGUAACGCGUGGAUAUCUGCCUUUUGGUUUCGGAAUAACCCCGGGAAACCUGGGGCGUAAUACCGGAUGGUUCCUACGGGAGUAAAGAUUUAUCGCCAAAAGAAUGAGUCCGCGUACGAUUAGCUAGUUGGUGAGGUAAUGGCUCACCAAGGCGACGAUCGUUAGCUGGUCUGAGAGGACGAUCAGCCACACUGGGAC